rnacentral:misc_RNA from 1 species
UACUACUCUAAACAUAUAUACACAUGAUUAACAAUGCUACAUCUUAAUUAAUUUAUGACAUUCUCUACAAAAUUAAGGAAACAACUAAGAGGAAACCGAUAAUCAAGAGAAACAUCUUGAUAAAAAACUUAGUACCAUCUACAUGGAUUGAAUGAUGAAAUCCAUGAGCAUAACCCCCAUGAAGUGAACUAGAGAAGAGGUAUGGAACUCCUGUUGUUGCACCAUAUACAGUAGCAUCAUGAAAUCCUUGCACAUGAAGAUUAAAAAAAGAUGGAAUAGCUCCGAAAAGAGUAGAUAAUGUCAAGUUUCCAAACCUUGCACUGGCCAUAGGCAUAAAUCCCCCCAUUUGAUCCAACUCAUCGGGUCGGAAAUAGUUCAUAUCUAGUGUUGGAGCUGUUUGUGGUCUUGGUCCAAAUACUGGACGGUUAGGAAUGUUCAUCCUUGGACGUAUGUGAGACCUUGGGUCAGAGGUUGUCUUGCCUCGACCAUAUAUAGGAACUAACUUCUGGUCCUCAAUGAGAGCCUUACAAACUGGACAUUCGUGGGAAUGUGAAUGAACUUGCAACCAUUCACAAAGACAAGGCCAACAAUAAAGGUGGCCACAAAGAGUCACAAUAGGAUCUUGAGCUAUUUCAAAGCAGAUAUUGCAUUCAAA